UGGGGAAUAUUGCACAAUGGGGGAAACCCUGAUGCAGCGACGCCGCGUGAGCGAAGAAGUAUUUCGGUAUGUAAAGCUCUAUCAGCAGGGAAGAAACUGACGGUACCUGACUAAGAAGCACCGGCUAAAUACGUGCCAGCAGCCGCGGUAAUACGUAUGGUGCAAGCGUUAUCCGGAUUUACUGGGUGUAAAGGGAGCGUAGACGGAUAGGCAAGUCUGGAGUGAAAGCCCGGGGCUCAACCCCGGGACUGCUUUGGAAACUGUUUAUCUAGAGUGCUGGAGAGGUAAGUGGAAUUCCUAGUGUAGCGGUGAAAUGCGUAGAUAUUAGGAGGAACACCAGUGGCGAAGGCGGCUUACUGAACAGUAACUGACGUUGAGGCUCGAAAGCGUGGGGAGCAAACA
rnacentral:rRNA from 1 species